CUUUCUCUCUCUCUCUCUCUCUCUCUCCCUCUCUCUCUCUCUCUCUCUGUGUGUGUGUGUGUGUGUGUGUGAGAGAGAGAGAGAGAGAGAGAGAGAGAGGGAGAGAAAG